GAUGAACGCUGGCGGCGUGCCUAAUACAUGCAGGUCGAGCGAACAGACGAGGAGCUUGCUCCUCUGACGUUAGCGGCGGACGGGUGAGUAACACGUGGAUAACCUACCUAUAAGACUGGGAUAACUUCGGGAAACCGGAGCUAAUACCGGAUAAUAUAUUGAACCGCAUGGUUCAAUAGUGAAAGACGGUUUUGCUAUCACUUAUAGAUGGAUCCGCGCCGCAUUAGCUAGUUGGUAAGGUAACGGCUUACCAAGGCAACGAUGCGUAGCCGACCUGAGAGGGUGAUCGGCCACACUGGAACUGAGACACGGUCCAGACUCCUACGGGAGGCAGCAGUAGGGAAUCUUCCGCAAUGGGCGAAAGCCUGACGGAGCAACGCCGCGUGAGUGAUGAAGGUCUUCGGAUCGUAAAACUCUGUUAUUAGGGAAGAACAAAUGUGUAAGUAACUAUGCACGUCUUGACGGUACCUAAUCAGAAAGCCACGGCUAACUACGUG
rnacentral:rRNA from 1 species